UACGGAGGAUCCAAGCGUUAUCCGGAUUUAUUGGGUUUAAAGGGUGCGUAGGCGGCUUUUUAAGUCAGGGGUGAAAGACGGUGGCUCAACCAUCGCAGUGCCUUUGAUACUGAAGAGCUUGAUUACACUAGAGGUAGGCGGAAUGUGACAAGUAGCGGUGAAAUGCAUAGAUAUGUCACAGAACACCGAUUGCGAAGGCAGCUUACUAGGGUGUCAAUGACGCUGAGGCACGAAAGCGUGGGGAGCAAACAGG
rnacentral:rRNA from 1 species